UACGUAGGGUGCGAGCGUUAAUCGGAAUUACUGGGCGUAAAGCGUGCGCAGGCGGUUUUGUAAGCCAGAUGUGAAAGCCCCGGGCUCAACCUGGGAAUGGCAUUUGGGACUGCAAGGCUGGAGUAUGGCAGAGGAGACUAGAAUUCCUGAUGUAGCAGUGAAAUGCGUAGAUAUCAGGAGGAAUACCGAUGGCGAAGGCAGGUCUCUGGGCCAAUACUGACGCUCAUGCACGAAAGCGUGGGGAGCAAACAGG
rnacentral:rRNA from 1 species